CUUUUAGGUUCAGGCGAUGCUGCCAGUGUGACGUAUAAUCUAGUGGACGGGACGCUCCUUCAACAACAACAGCUAGUCAGACACCUCGGUAGCUUUCUAGCAAACACAGCUACAACAUUCACCCGCUUUACACUGUUUUGGUGUAUAUUAGUCGCUGUGUAUUAAACACACUUCUGUCGUAUGUACUUGUUGGCCCAUUUAAUUAUAUAUUCACGUUGUUUGUCAGCUAGCUGGUUUGCUAAGUUAGCUUAGAACUAGGCUAGUCGCUAAUGCUAGCUAGCUAACAUCUCCGACCAUGAGUUCAUUAAGCUACUCUCCUCCUACUAAAGAAGAGGUCUGCUGGAUGGAGAAAGAAGCUCUCGUUAAAGAGGAAGAGAAAGAUGUUACAAUACAAAAACAUGUAGAGACUGUUACCGUGAAAGAAGAAGAGAAAGACGUUACAGUGAAAGAAGAGGAAGACGCGUUCAGAGUGAAAGAGGAGGAGGAUGUUACAAUAAAAGAAGAUGAGGAAGAGAAAGAGGAGAGAGCAGUUUUUGGAGUGAAAGAGGAGGCGGGGGAGAUGAUUGUCACAUUGAAAGAGGAGAAGGAGGAAGAAGAGGAGGUUGGAGAUCUGUUUAACACCAGUUUUCUGUCCUCAGAUAAAGAGCUCUAUGAAAGCCAGUCUACAUAUGAAGAGGUCCCAAUGAAGAGCAGUGGUUCUCAGUCCUGGGGACUCAAAGAGGCACAUUGUUGUUUUUGCCUCAGCACUGCACAGCUGAUUCAAAUGAUCAACUCAUCAUCAAGCUUCAAGUGAUACCUUGUAACUGGAGAUUCCUUCAAAACGAUUGCCUACAGGUACCGUGUAGGGCACUGCAAGGUUGGGUGACCAGGGUCAUCUGGGACUGCCUCCUGGAGGAAUUCAGAUGUGUGAAGGCUACCUGUGUCCUGCGUAACUUCAUGAGGAUGGACACGAGGACCAGGAGGGGAUCUGCAGCUCGCCCCCGGGGCCCAGAGGAGGAGUCUGCUGCUCUGCAGGAUGUUUCAAGGAUGGGGUCCAACAACGCAGCAAGAGAGGCAAUCCGUGUGCAGGAGAUCUUCACCUCCUACUUCUUCAAAGAGGGUGCUGUUCCCUGGCAACACCAUAGACUACACUAUGCUCAACCAAAGGCUCUUUUAAGAGGGUGCUGUUCCCUGGCAACACCAUAGACUACACUAUGCACAACCAAAGGCUCUUUAAGAGGGUGCUGUUCCCUGGCAACACCAUAGACUACACUAUGCACAACCAAAGGCUCUUUUAAGAGCCAUCCACAUUACAAUAAGAGUAUUCUUCCAUUUACUUAGCUAUGUCAACUGCAGUUAUUUAAUUCACAGUUUCUCUCCCUUUGAUUUCUACUUCUCAGGUGAGGGUGCUGUUUGGGUAAGGGUGUGAUGUCUGUGCAAAAAUAAAACAGGCUGUUUUAAAUCACUCAUAUUGAAAAAAUGUAGAACAAUUAGACACCCUAUAACCCACACCUACACACUCAUGUAUCAAUCUGAUUGAUGGAUUGUGUUGUGCAGUAAGCAGGCUCAGGUGUAUAACUGUGGCUCCUUCCACCUUCAAAGAAUAGGCAAGAGGGCCAACCAUGGAGAAUAGUAAGACACUUCAUUAUUUCUAUAACUACGCUAUAUUUGUUUGUCCUUGUGGGUCCUUUCAUCUUUUUCAGCAUAACGUACUCUGCAGCCACUUAGUGUGGUGUGGACACCAGUCCUCUAGGUUAUAUCAGCUGUGUCGGUGAACCCCUCCUGCAUCUGAACUGGCUACAUAGAGGGCACAGCAUGAUCAGAGAUAUGUUUUGAUGUGAGAGGAUGCCAACCCCCAGUCACAUCAUCGCCACCUCACCCUCUUUUAAGAUAACCUUUAGGCCGACUAGAGACAAUAUUAUGUAAUUGUGAUGAACUGAGAGAAUAUUUAUGUAGCACUGUGAUUCAUUAGUCAUGUGCUGCCUUCCCUGCUCCUAUGUGCUUACCUCUUUCCCUUUCUGUCUUUUACACCUCUCUCUCCACCUCUUUCUUCCUCUGUUUUUAUAAUUCACAACAGAUGUGCAUUGCAGGACAGAUUGAACUUGUAUUUAUAACACUUGGAUAAUGAGCUUUUCAAUCAAGCGUUUCACAUUCUCUACUGGUUGAAAUAAAGUGUAAUGUGAUGAAAUACUCCACCUAUCCUGUGUUUAUCAGAUCAAUGCAGAUGAAGGGCAUUAGAUGUUGAGAUGAACCGGUGUUAAGAGUAUUUACAUGAUGCAUAGGAAGUGUAGUGUUCUGUUUUUAACAUUAUGUUUCUGUAUAUAUGAAUUAACUAGUUAAAUCCUGUUUCUAGUCUAUUAGUUACAAUGUGUAACCAUUGAUGUCCCAGAACCAAGAUUGGUAAACACUGUUGAAGUGUAGAAUUGUAAUACAUCCAUGCAGACACAGCGUCAUUCAAAGACUGGAAUUUGAUACUCCUGGUAUUGGAUAUGACUGAAAAAUAAUCUCAAAGACAUUCAUACCUAAACUGCACCUUUAUUUGCCAAGGUAGAGUACAUGAUCAGUGAAUAUAUUAAAUGUACAGGCUACAAUGUGGGGAUCUCAUGCAUGGUAAUAACUACAUGUAUACAAUAACUACUUGCAUUAUUGGCACAACAUGAUAUUAUAUUCUACUCAAUCCAUAGGCUUCAUUAAUGUCAUUCAGGCUGUUUUGAAGUUGAUACAACUGGCUAUGAUAGCUGAGGUUCAUAGCUAGGUUCUGAACUAAUAUGUAUACCAAACGUUUGGGUCCAUACACAGAUCGGCUAGCUAGCUAGCUACACAUCCAUGGGUAUACAGGGAUUUUAAUCAUCAACUGCACAAUAAGCAAGAACAUAGCUAGCUACGUGAUUUCAUCUAUCUGCAUGGCAAAUAUCAUCAAGGCAAGCUUACAAAAUUGUGCAGUAAAUUCUUCAGCUAGCUAGAUUCUAUACAUCCACUGUUUCCCAAAACGACAGUCUGGUUUGCUGGUUGUUUCAGGGGUCCCUAAAACAACCAGAAUUACAAUUUCAUACUCAUGUCACAACACCCAUAAAGCUAGCUGGCUAAUGUUAGCUAGUCAGCUAGCUGGCUAAAUCACGAUUUUCGUAAAUGAACUAUGAUUUAAAAAAUGCAUAAUCGUUUGUCUCUACAUGAACUAACAUUCCUGUCAACUGUACAUGUUUUUGCAUGAUUGGUUAUGACGUUAUAAUCCCUUAAAUUUGCUUCCAUCCUAGUAUUUCUGUCCGCCAUCUUUGAUUCAGUUCUGUGUAGGGGUUCACCUCUCUCCUAGUAUUUCUGUCAGCCAUCUUUGAUUCAGUUCAGUUCUGUGUAGGGGUUCCCCUCUCUCCUAGUAUUUCUGUCCGCCAUCUUUGCUGAAGAAAGUAUAACAGUCACUAGUGCAGCAGCAGCCACCCCCGCUCCUAGUGCCGGCCCAGGAAAAUGUUUAAGAUGCGAUGGAACGGUUGACGAAAAUAAGAAAUCACAGAAAAGAUAUAUUGACUGAUUUUAAAUUAUUUAGGGAGGGGGGCUAAUUAAUAUUUUAGGACUAGCUAUGUUCCUGAUUCCUACCUACUUUUGUCUGAAAAUGUAAUUUACAUUUUACUCAACUGCGUUACCCACUCCAUUUAGCAGAUGGCGGUCUGCGACUUUAAGGCAAUGCUGCUACUGUGACGUAUAAUCUAGUGGACGGAACGCUUCUUUCAACAGCAGCAAAAGUAAUUCAGCCACCUCGGUAGCUUGCUAGUCAAAAUAGACCAACCAAUAAAGCUCUUUCGACGCUUUAGUGUAUAUUAACCACUGUAUUUUAAACCCACUUCUGUCGUCUAGUUAGUUAUCCUUUUUAAUUUAAUAAUUUUCAUAUUUACGGUAUUGUUUUCAUUCAUCUAGCGGGCUGGUUAAGUUAGCAUUAGCCUAGCUAGCUAACAUCUCCAACCAUGAGGUCACUAAGCUAUUCUCUUGUUAAUGAAGAGGAGGACUGCUGGACGGAGAAAGAAGCUCUCGUCAAAGAGGAGGAGGAAGAGGAGGAUGUCACAGUAAAACAAGAAUUAGAGGGUGAGGCUGUUACAGUUAAACAAGAAGUAGAGGAUGAGACUGUUACAGUGAAAGAAGAAGAGAAAGACGUUUCAGUGAAAGAAGAGGAAGACGCGUUCAAAGAGGAGGAGGAUUUUACAGUAAAAGAAGAGGUGGAUGCUUUUGGGGUGAAAGAGGAGGAGGGGGAGAUGACUGUCAGAUCGAAAAAGGAGGAGGAGGAAACUGGAUAUCUGGGCCCGGUUUCCCAAACGCAUCUUAAGGCAUCCAAUGGUUCUAAGGAUGAACUUAGCCAUAAUAUGGUUUUGAGAGACCGUUCCCUGAUUAACACAAGAGAGAUACGGGACUAUCGUGGAUCCUCUGUGGAGCCUCAACAACCUCAUGAUGCUGAAGAGGCAGAGAAGAGUCUCUCCAGAUCAGAACACCUCAAGAAACACCAGCAGAGAUCCACAGGGAAGAGAACUCACUGCUGCUCUGACUGUGGGAAGAGAUUCACCUCAUCAGGCAUUAAAAUUCAUCAGAGAAUCCACACAGGAGAGAAACCUUAUAGCUGUGGUCAA